rnacentral:rRNA from 1 species
ACAGGGAUUGCCCUAGUAACGGCGAGUGAAGCGGCAACAGCUCAAAUUUGAAAUCUGGCCCCCGGGUCCGAGUUGUAAUUUGUAGAGGAUGCUUUUGGCGCGGUGCCUUCCGAGUUCCCUGGAACGGGACGCCAUAGAGGGUGAGAGCCCCGUCUGGUCGGACACCAAGCCUCUGUAAAGCUCCUUCGACGAGUCGAGUAGUUUGGGAAUGCUGCUCUAAAUGGGAGGUAUAUGUCUUCUAAAGCUAAAUACCGGCCAGAGACCGAUAGCGCACAAGUAGAGUGAUCGAAAGAUGAAAAGCACUUUGAAAAGAGAGUUAAAAAGUACGUGAAAUUGUUGAAAGGGAAGCGCUCAUGACCAGACGUGGGCCUGUUGGAUCAGCUUGGGUUCUCCCGGGUGCACUCCCUCAGGCUCAGGCCAGCAUCAGUUCGUCGUGGGGGACAAAGGCUUCGGGAAUGUGGCUCCCUCCGGGGAGUGUUAUAGCCCGUCGCGUAAUACCCUGUGUCGGACUGAGGUUCGCGCAUCUUGCAAGGAUGCUGGCGUAAUGGUCAUCAGCGACCCGUCUUGAAACACGGACCAAGGAGUCGUCUUCGUAUGCGAGUGUUCGGGUGUUAAACCCCUACGCGUAAUGAAAGUGAACGCAGGUGAGAGCUUCGGCGCAUCAUCGACCGAUCCUGAUGUUCUCGGAUGGAUUUGAGUAAGAGCAUACGGGGCCGGACCCGAAAGAAGGUGAACUAUGCCUGUAUAGGGUGAAGCCAGAGGAAACUCUGGUGGAGGCUCGCAGCGGUUCUGACGUGCAAAUCGAUCGUCAAAUAUGGGCAUGGGGGCGAAAGACUAAUCGAA